rnacentral:rRNA from 1 species
GGGUCAGUAGAUUGGUCAUGCCUCUGGUAUGUACUGGUCUUACUGGCUCCUCCUUCCUGAUGAACCGUAAUGCCAUUAAUUUGGUGUUGCGGGGAGACUGGACUGUUACUUUGAAAAAAUUAGAGUGUUUAAAGCAGGCUAUCGCUUGAAUACAUUAGCAUGGAAUAAUAGAAUAGGACU